GACGAACGCUGGCGGCGUGCUUAACACAUGCAAGUCGAACGGAAAGGCCCUGCUUUUGCGGGGUGCUCGAGUGGCGAACGGGUGAGUAACACGUGAGUAACCUGCCCCUGACUUUGGGAUAACUCCAGGAAACUGGGGCUAAUACCGGAUAGGAGCUCCUGCUGCAUGGUGGGGGUUGGAAAGUUUCGGCGGUUGGGGAUGGAAUCGCGGCUUAUCAGCUUGUUGGUGGGGUAGUGGCUUACCAAGGCUUUGACGGGUAGCCCGCCUGAGAGGGUGACCGGCCACAUUGGGACUGAGAUACGGCCCAGACUCCUACGGGAGGCAGCAGUGGGGAAUAUUGCGCAAUGGGCGGAAGCCUGAUGCAGCAACGCCGCGUGCGGGAUGAUGGCCUUCGGGUUGUAAACCGCUUUCGCCUGUGACGAAGCGUGAGUGACGGUAAUGGGUAAGGAAGCACCGGCUAACUACGUG
rnacentral:rRNA from 1 species